rnacentral:rRNA from 1 species
AGCGAACGCUGGCGGCAGGCCUAACACAUGCAAGUCGAACGAACCUUUCGGGGUUAGUGGCGGACGGGUGAGUAACACGUGGGAACGUGCCUUUAGGGUCGGAAUAACUCAGGGAAACUUGUGCUAAUACCGAAUGUGCCCUUCUGGGGGAAGAUUAAUCGCCUUUAGAGGGGCCCUCGUCUGAUUAGCUAGUUGGGUGAGGUAAUGGCUCACCAACGCGACGAUCAGUAGCUGGUCUGAGAGGAUGAUCAGCCACAUUGGGACUGAGACACGGCCCAAACUCCUACGGGAGGCAGCAGUGGGGGAUCUUGCGCAAUGGGCGAAAGCCUGACGCAGUCAUGCCGCGUGAAUGAUGAAGGUCUUAGGAUUGUAAAAUUCUUUCACCGGGGAAGAUAAUGACGGUACCCGGAGAAGAAGCCCCGGCUAACUUCGUG